rnacentral:misc_RNA from 1 species
UGUCUUGGGGUAAUAGUGAGAGAUGUUGGAUUGGACCCAGUUAUCAGCAAAAGACUGGUCGGCUGCAGUGGAGGCGAGGAGCUCGUUAGGCAGCGCUACGACGACGCUAAUGUCUGAAUUGGCAAGUGCUGUCAAAACGGCUGAGUCAGUGUCGUAGAGCUUGACACGUUUGAUUCCCUGUGAUUUCAGAAGUUCCACAACUUUGUCCGGUGUUGGCAAGUCAUUGGCGACUCGGCCGUAGUUUAUGCCUAUUGUACCUGCUGCAUCUGCAAAAAUAUAGCAGAAUCUUAUUAACAAGAAAAAGCACCAAAAAAAAAAAGAACAGAGAAAAAUAAAUGAAUAAGAAAAAUACCUGCAAAGACAAAGAAAGAAAGUAGCACAAGGAAGCAAGAGAAAGAGAAUGCGAAGGAAGCCAUUGCCAUGCUCCGUUUCUUUGAAUAGCAGAGCAUGAAAGAGAG